UAGGAUCCUUGAGCUGUUGCAGAGGCAGCCAACUGCUCCAUAUUUGGCUUCUAUUACCCAUUUACAUGCUGGAGAGCGGAGAGGGAGCGAGCGCUGUACCGCAGACAUCAUUUCUACUACAGUGGUGGAGACAUCCCGGACCUGUGUCACUGCAGGGGGAAGGAAAAAAGCCAAACAAACAAAAAGCAGACCCAAGCCCCGUGAUCAGCUAGGAAGACAUUUGUGUGCGAGUCUCUUUCUGACCCCCCCGCCCCCGCCAACCCCACCUCCACUGACACUUUACAUCACAUUGCAGGCCAAGCCAGAUGGGCAAGCAAUACAAGCUGUGAAUUUAUUCUUGACCCCGUAGGACAGUGACCACCAUCAUUUCUUUCUUCACCGUACAGUUAUGCACUGCCAAUAAGUGAAAAGGUCAAGAAAAGCAGUAGCUCAGUGGCUGAAUUUUUCUGAAGUGCUUUACAGCAGGGAAAGUGGGGAAACCUCUUAAAGUGGUGUCUUAUUCAAUCCUGGAGCACAGGGAAAGAGUUUUAAUGCAAAAUACCAGAAAAAAAAGUCUGCAACAUCUCCUGUGAGAGGAGAGAGAAAAGGAGAUUAACAAUUGCAUCUUGAAACACUCAUGAUUUGAGGCCAUAUGUGUCCUUUGAACUCUGAAGAAGCUGUGCCAAAAGGAAGCCUUCUUCUCCUCCCCUCCUCCCAUCGUGGAGCCGCUCUUAGAUAAUUGCAAUUAGUAGACAAUGCGGAGCGAACCCAAAUGUGAAGUCCACGGCUCUACCUUACUUUAUUUGAAAGAGGAAAGCCAGUGAGGACCUGUGAACAAUCCAGCAGCUUCUGAAAAAUCUUCAUGCUAAAGGAUAAUCCAGAAUUCCCUGAAGAGGAACAAAGUGAAUGUUGUGAGUUCCUAGCAGUGAUAACAAAUACUUCCAAUUGUGUCCUUUGGGAGGUAGUAUCUGCCCUGUAGUGUUUUGUCUCUUCCCUGUGAUGCACUGAGCACCAAAGACUUUAAUUUCUCUCCCUCUUGAUUUUUUUUUUCUUUUAAUAGGUUUAAGGGAAGACUAGUAUUAUCUAAGGAAAGGUGGUGGGUUUCUUUUCCUUGGACUGCUACAGUUAUUUGUCAUACUGCUAUUGCUUUUUAGUUAAAUAUGUGAGCCUGCAUUGGAAGGCCAUGUGACUGUGUAGCCUAACAAGAAUGAAAAAUGCAAUGGAUAACAGUCCAUGAGUCUGCAGGUCAGAUUCAGGAGUUUUAUGCAUGCUUGCACAAUGGUUGAAAUUAUUUGACCACUUUCAAAUUAGAGGAAUGCAAAUGUAAUUAUUUCUGUAGUUACUUCUGGUAUUCCAAACUCCUGAUGGUCAGUUUUUUAUAUGUGAGUAUUUCCAGUACAAAUGCUCCUCUCAGAGGUUUGUGUUCAUGGGAACUGGAGUAGCACACCUUUCCAAGGGAAACACAGUCACUCAACUGAGACCUUGAUUCAGCUGCGGUAUUAAUAAAAAAAAAAAGUUCCCAUGAGGGAUGGUUAAAAAGAAAGCAUGAAUAUUUUUAUGUUCAUUGUUUUUUCUUAUGAAGCCCACCGCUUUUCUGGGUUGAAAUGGGCAAACAUGCAGAUCAAAUGUAAACAUUCUCACAAAAAGAGGAAAACAAGAGUUCUCUGCCUGCCAGAUUUUAGAAUAAUCCUUAUUUUUUUCUUAAGAAAGAACCAUGGGGAUUUCCAAAUUAGGCAAGUUAGUAUUUAAUUCUUAUGCCCAGAGUAUGCAGCAGUCCUUCAAGAUGUUAGUAGUGACAAAACACGCUGCACAUUCUUCCAGUUGCAGCAAACUAUUUUGUGCACUUUCCAUUAAUGUAGUAAAUAUAAAUAUAUUUCCUGGCAUGCCUUCUAGCUCCCUCAGAGUGGGAUGCCCUUCUUUGCUCUGCUUUUCCCUUUGGGUUCAGGCUUCGGGAAGCAGAUUGAGACAGAGACAGUCUAAGUGUUGCUGCUUUCCCAAGAACCAGUUGCAAAAUAAAUAUUAGAGAAGACACUGAAAAUUUUUUGUCAUCUCUUGCCAUUCCCACCUCUUUUGUUCCACAGUGAAAUAGUUAACAAAGGCAACAUCUGGAGUUUUUACUUUCUGGUUACCACUAAGCUGCCAAGUUAGUAGCUUAUUAAGAUGAAUAGGGGGCCUCUGAGAUGUGGAGCUUCUCACUGUCCAUGUACCCAAGCAGGCGUGGCCAUAUCAGCUAAUUCCCACACUUCGAAGGGCUCCUUUAUAACCACAAGAACUCACUUUGCAUGCUGGCAUCCAAGAACAGGAGAGGACAGCCUUAAAUAAUAAUAAUAACAAUAAUAAACAACCCCAACCAUCCUAGCAGGCAGAGCUGUUGGGAUAACAAGAGAUGUUUGUUUAAGAUGUUGCAAUCACCUCCAGUGAUUGCAACAGCAGCACCACCUCACAUGAAGGAGAGCAUCCCCUGGGUCCUUUAAGGUAUGUGGCAUGCCAGAUCAGCCAGGUAAACUGAAAGAGGCAAUCGUCAGCCAUUGCAGGGGAUGGAAUAUCUGUUGAAGAUGCUGUCAGUGUGAUCAUUACAUUCUGCCCUGUCCUAAACGGUUUAAAAUCAGCCCUCUUAAAGCACAGUGUGAUGUUCUGCUAUUGUGGUGCCAAAACCCUGAUUAUACUUAGGAGGCCUGGGUUAGUGCAGAAAAAGCAGCGCUCUUCUCACCAGGUAUGGAUGGGAAAAAGUGUUCUUGAGAAUUGCUCUUACUCUGGCAUCCAGGACUAGUUCCUUUUGAGGAAUCAUUUGUAGAUGAUGGAGAGAUUUUUAGCAGUUCCUUGAGAGUGUAUUUCAUCACCUGGCUUCUGCUUGGAGGACACUGCUGCAAGAAGGAGGCAGUCAGCUAGGCUCCUGCUCGCCUCUUUCCUUUAACUUCUUAGGGAGACAAGAAUACCAGAGUGAGGAGGUACAGUGUUUCUCCUGAAAGGAAAUACUGGCAUACAGUGAAUUUACUGAAAAAUAUUGCUCUCUCUUCCCCUUUUGCAGGGUGUAGUCGUGUUAAGAUGUGAGGAAAAUGAUCAAACCUUUCCCACUGCAAGUGGUAGCUGUUCUCUUCUCUUCUGCUGCCUCCUUCUGCCACCCAGACAAAUUUCAGAGGAAGGGGGGUGUGAGGAGGGAGGGGUACAGUAAAUUGACACCAGUGUCUUGUAUCCACCUAGAAACUGCCUGUUUACUAAACAGUACAAAUUUCUCGCUUCCUUUUCCCUUCUCUCUUCAUUUGGAUGAAAUGCAUUUCUGGAAUAGCAGUGCUUGUACAAAUCAAGUCCAUAUUCCACUUCUGGGGAGAGAAAAAGGGAUGUCAGGAGGGUUCAUUAAGGAGGAGCAUUUCUUUUAGCAAGGGUAAGAAAAUGAAGCAAGACAAGGCUCCUUUGCUCUUGCCGGAGGGUACCUUGUGUAUUCCAACGUACAGUUUUGUAAUUUUCUGGUAGGAUGUAGGUAUCCUGAGGUUUUUUUUUUUCCCAUCCUGAAAACAUAUGCCACAGCUUUUUUGGAGUGCUAGCCACACAAACACAAACACAUUCUAACAGAAGCAAUGAAUAAACUCUUCAUGUUCCUCAUCACAGGCAUUUCUUCACAUUACUUUUUUUCUGUGCUUGUGAAAAAACCUCUGGCACGGUUUGUGGGAAAUGGAAAAUAAAUCUCUAAAUCCAGUAUGUGUCAAUAACAGAAAUGUGCUCAGUUGAUCUCAUAUCUAUAACUGUUAUUUUGGGCAAACUGCAGAUGGUAGGAUAGUAAACAUCCCCACUUCUAGCCCAGACAGGCUUUCUAUGCCCUGCCUUCAGCGCGGAACCUGCCGCUGUAAGGGCUGACUCUGAAGAGGGUCCCAGGGGAUCAUGGUUGCACAUGGCUUAGCCCCAUUCGCAUCCCAUUUUUGAGCUGCUGCCUUCUUUUUUUGUUCCUUGGCCCUCCUUGCUUCCUUUACCCUGGGUCCUAUCUCCCAUGUACUCCCCCCCUGGCUGCCGGCUGUUUUUCCUGGCACGUGAAGCUGCGACGGGUCUGGGAGCGACAGCUCCUGGAGCUGAUGUCAGUGCUGCUUCCUGAGCUGCCUGGCCAGGCUGGCUGCAGCCCAGGCACACCCUCUCCCCAGAGCAUCACCUUCUCAGCCUGCCCAUCCUCCUGCUGCAGCAGCCCCUCAGGGAGGAGGCUUGUGCAAGUGAUGGAAAUUGAAGGCUAGUGAGCCUUUCAUGGCAGUUUUCUGUGAGCGGCCAUCUCCCACGCCUGGAACCAGGUUUGUGGCGUGGUUGGAAGUGAUGCCUGGUUUCUGUUCUGAGCUGUACACACCUUGGAAGAGCUACGGGAAGCUUUGACACAUGCAGACUUAAUGAUUCUGGAUCUCUCUGCUUUUGUGUCGCUUUGGUAUCCGUAUGCUAAAUCACCCCAUGGUUGUCUAUGGAAAUUACCAGGCUGCUGAGAAAAGAGCAGAGCUGCAUGUGUCCGUUCUUCCAAACAACAGCCCAGUACAUGCUACUUGGUAUUUAUAGUGAGAGCGAAAAAGGGAAGAAUCACUUUAAUUUGAGAAAUGUCUCUCAGAAGCAGCAGUAAUUUAUUCCUAGGCAUUAUUCUUCAUUAAGAGCUACAGACAGCUGCAGCUUCCCUUUAAAUAGAAAUUGCUCUCCGCAGGCAUGCUAUACAUAGGGCUUCAGGUUUCUGCCAUUUCUCUGCCAAAAAAUCAGAAGUAUUUCUCACCAAAUAAAUGUUUAUUCAGAAAGUCAUAUUUCCUGGCUUUUAUUUCACGUCACAGGCUUCCGGCAGCCAGGCGAGAACAGCUCAAGGCUGUCGUUUGGGAGAGGAAGCUGAAACAGUUUGAGUCUCUUGUGGGGCUUCAAAAAAAGUCUCUGACCAUAACUCUGGGCCUUCAGUUUGGCAGUUUACUUUAGCUGUUGAACAUUGGAUUAAAAUGGAUGCUACAGAAAUCCUGCAGGGCAAGUGUGCCUGUGAAGAUGCAAUGUGAGUGGUGGUGGUGGGCGUUUCUAUGCAUCAGGUCAGCUCUCCCCCUCUCUUGGCCUUGAAGCCACAGCCAUCCUCAGACUGCAUGGGUGGCAAACUGGCUUUGGCAGCUGGCAGCAGCUGAGCGGUUUUGUUGUUGGGGGAUCCCCUGUAUGAUCAGUGUAUGGACACCUAGGGACAGCAGGCGAGAGCUGGGCCACACCUGCUUGCACCUGCUGCCCAGCAGAGAGGUGGCUAGGGUGGUUUCAAGUACUGCAGUGGGACGUGCAACGAUGAAGCUGUAAGCCACCAGUGCUCCAGAAGACCAAAUACCUCUUUUAUGCACAUCUGUGCAGCUUCCUUGGAUUUAUCUUUCUCUUCUCCACAUUCCUGCUGGCUGGCUCUUCAACUAAUGAUUUUCUAAGCUGCCUUUUUCUCACUGUCUUUUCCAGCCUGAACUGCUGAGCUUCCUCUUUUGUCUCCAGGGCUUAUCUGCUGGACCCACAUUUUCCAUUAGUGUGAUACCACCCACCACUCCAGUAGAUCACUUUGCUGUUGUAGCCGCCCCAGCUGGUUGUCUUUUGUCUUCCGUGGCUAUGGUGUUCCUGUCAAUACAUGAUGUUUUCCUUCUCCAUAUCUCCUCCCAGUUCUCCCUGCAAUCCUUAAUUUAUGGUUUAUAGUAUGCAAUCCAUAUAUUAAAAUAAUUUUUAGUUAGGUCAUUCGUUACUCUCUUGCUUUCUUCCUGUCCAGUAUAGGUUCCAGAGAAGUGAGAAGCUGUAAUUUCUCCAGGGCUAAAAUCCAAGUCUUUGAUAGGCAGGCAUGAUGCCUGAGGCCACUACAUGUUGCUACUUGUUGUCAGCUUUGUAAAACUUACCCUGCAGAGCAAAGAAAUCUGGGCACAAAGAUUGUUCUCUUCUCUACCGUGGCAAGCUGUAGUUUCCCAGUCUGUUCUGCCUUCUCUUCAUUGUCUUACAAGCAAAUGGCUGUAAGAUUAUGACUCCCAUGUUUGGACUGGGAACAGCUUUUGUCUGAGCAAACAGAUUUCUCUUUGGCAGUCACUUUAACUGCUGCCCCAGCUUUUUGCUGUCAGCUUUGUUUCAUGAUUUGGCAUUAGAGAAGUCCAGGCAGUCCUAGUGCACAGUGCAUUGGAGUGAGUAAAUGCAGCAAGGCAGGCAGGUGAGUUAUGCCUUUGUUAAUGAUCACAAUACCAGUGUGGUCCAUGAGACCACGAAAAGCAUCUCCUGUAGUUCAGCAGUGUAGUUUUUGGUUCCUUAUCUUUAACUUGGUGGUGCCAGCUGGAGAAAUUUCUGAUCCUUGUUGGCAACUCUGCUUGGUCCAAGAGGCUUCCAGUGAAACCAAGAAGAAGCAUUGGGAACCAAGCCUAGCCUUCACAGGUUAUAGCAUGGCAUGAAAGCUGCCCUACUAUUUGCAGGUUGUUUCUGGGGUGAAGCUGAUCAAAACACAGGUGUCUCAUGCCUGUGAGAAUUUCUUUCCGCUUUUCUUAGGCUUCUUGUGUUUCACUGCUGCUUUCUUGUGCUGCUGUUAUAGUUAGCAUUGCUUGUGAGCUGGUUUGCUGCACCCAUGAUGACCCUAACAGUAUCUCAUAACCUGCCAAUGCUUCUCUCAAUGCUGAUAAUGUUUGUGGCAGCAGCAGCAGCAAGAAGAGAAUAUAAAUUAAGCUCUCCUAGAGAGGAAUUUUUUCCCAUUUUCUGUUUGGAGCAUGCAUUCAAAAGGAAGGGCUGCUGAUAGUGGUAGGUUAGUUAAGAGGAAUCAUGAGUCCUUUCUAGCAGAAUAUUAUUCUGAACAACUUGUUCAUUCAUAUUUAUUUCAGGUUUGUUUGCAGCCUUCUAGGCAUGUUGACCAUGGAUGCGUAUUUUGGGAAGGAGUAUCAGAUACUUUUAUUCAAACUGGCUGUAUUGAUGCUAUCAGGUUUCCUUCUCAGUGAGUUUUAUGUUUCUUGUUGUUAAUCAGCUUUGCUGCUUCCAGCUACAGACACUGAUGAAUGUUUCAGAGGCACCUGAUGGCACAAAGGUCAAGAGGAAGAAGAUAAGCAAGUUGACAGGAUUGCCUUUAGCUUCUUUUACUGUUGAGGUGUCAGAACUAGAGACAGACCAAGCAAACUGGAGAUGCUGAUUUUUUUAUUUUUAAUGAGUUUUCUUGGCAGCUUUUUAAAUAAAAGAAAACCCCUCCCUUCUGUGGCAAAUAACGUUUAUUGCAGUAGUGCAACUUAUUACCUAGCUAUUGCACUAGUAACAGAAGAAAUCUGUUUGGGGGGUAAGGGCUCCAUGAGAUGAGGGGAGGAACAUUAAUUGUGGUUUUCUGUGCCAGGCAACCUUCAGUCAGAAUUGGGGUGGUGAUUUAUAAAUUCCCUUUGUCUCACUUCCAACGUUUGGACUGCAAUGAAUCCUGCUAAAACAUUACAAAAGCUGUGUCAGUUGAAAGAAGCUGGGCAAAAUGUGGGUCGGCUUCCCGGACAGGAGUACGUUUGUAAACAGAGCUGUGGAGGUUCCUUGCAACAGAAUUGUUCUUAAUGGAGGCAGUGGGCAAAAUGUGCUUUAAGCCUUCAGCUCCCAGGAGUUUGUGUCUCUGACAGAUAAAACUUGUCUUCUCAACAGCUUGAUUUAUCAUUUCUGGUGUAAAUAGCUGGCAAAAAGAAACUUCAGGUAACAUGAACCUCUGGUGAAGUAAAAGGGAGUUUGACACUCAGGAUGGAGCAACAGGAAGAGUACUAGAGGAGUGACACUUUUCAUAUUCACAGUUAAAAUGUUUUAAAAUGUUAAAAUGCUUUGGGCUUAUUUUAUGUUGUUUGAAAGGAGUUUUGGGGUUUUUUUUGUUUUGGUUUGUUUUGGUUUUUUUUUUAGUAAAGCUGUGUUCUGCAAGUGACUUUGUUAAAGAGUCAGAUUCUUAUGAGGAAAAGAGACAAAAUGAUGUCUCUUUGUACUCAAUCAUGUACUGCUGUCUUUUGAAGUGGGAAGGUCCUCGUAACAUAUUUCUGAGUUAAGACAUGUCUGUUAAUUCCACAGUGCAAAUCACCAGGAUUCUUUUUACUUUUACCAGAACCAUUAAAACAUUUGUAUAACUAUCUUUAUUCAACCCGAGGGAUAGCCUGCAGAGCCAUCAAGGAGAUAUAAGUACAAGCACUUCCUUCUUGUUAUCAUUGACCAGUCAAACCAGUUCAGCUGAAGGGAUUUGGCUGAGUAAGCAGUCCUGCUGCUCAUCAUGGCAUCCGUAGAAAGGGCUGUAGAGCUUUAUAUGUCUUCAUUAUAGGAUGAAGUCUCUUCUUAAAUUAAAUGAAGCUGUCAGGCUUCAUUAGCUCCGGAUUUUCUUGUUGUUAUUAUUCUAAUGUAAUUAUCACUUUUCUUCAGUCAGCCUUCUGCUUGCCUACUUCCAAAUAAACUCUUUCCAUCUGGAGAGUAUUUUGAGAUGGGGAAGGUAUAGUGAAGUAGUGAAACUAUUCUCAGCCUUGUGUUCUCCCUCUCCUUUUCAACUACCUAGAAUGCUAUACAAGGAAAUAGAAAUAAACAAAUACACAACAACCAUAAGAGGAUCCUCUUCCCUCAAAAAAAGAUCAUACAAAGGAAGGCUAUAGAGUAUCUGUCUAAGCACGUGCAAUGGGAGAAAGUGUCAUAUGUUGAUAUAUAAGAUCCCUGCAGUUCUUUGUUUCAAAAAAGCAGCAUUAAGAACCGAGGAGUCACCCCACUCUGCUCUCAUAUGACAAGACACAUUGCUUCAGCAGUAAGUAGUUCUUGGGUAUAAUGAAAUACCUGCUGACUGCAGGGAGUAAGAAAGUCUCAGUCACGACGGGUACAUCUAUUUCUGCAUCCAAGCCCUGUGCAGAGAUUCCCAAGCUGACAAGGUGCUUUGCUCAGGCUAAUUAGCCCUGCUUCUCUCCUUACAUAUUCUCUGGUUAUGCUAAUUAGACUGAGCGGGGUGCUGCUGGUGAGAGUCCAACAAGUGUGUCUGUACAGCCUUGCCCUGCAGUGUACCCUCUGAGUGCCUGAGCCCGCUUGGCACACAGGCACCAGUCUGUGCCAGCGGCUGUGCAGCCAGCACAGGUACUGCCUGCAGUUUUACUGUACGUGCUGUCAAGCAUCACUCAGCCUUGGGUGGCUUGCUGGGACUGCAGUGAAGGGAAUAAGUGGUAGGGAAUAUCUUGAGCAGCUCAUAGCCUGUAACCUCAUUGCUCUCAGAAAAAUCACAUCCUGCUGGGUGUUUUGGUCCCAUUCAUUCUGUUUCAUGUGAAUGACUUUCCUGGUUCUGGAGGUGGUGCUCUGGAGCCCUGAGGGAGAUGGGGGCAUUGUGUGAGGGGACAGAAGUACAAAGGCAGACAACCAAAAACGGUGAAACUGAGGAAUAACAGUGUGAAAAACUUAGACUUUUCAUUCUGUUUGUAUGUGCAGGACUGACAGGAAAAUGGGCUGGCAUGUUGAAUUAGGUCGUGAAACCUUGCUAAUUAGCUGUUCUUUUCCUCCUUCACCUCUCCCUUCUUCCUUCCCAGGUGGGGUUCUUGCAGAAUGCAAGGAGUGCAGGGAUAGGUGACUUUCAUAAUUCAGUGUUUUAACAUUCAAUUCCAGCUAAGUUUUCUAUAAAACAUUUUUUCAAAGACAUCGAGUAAGCUUACAGAAGACAGAUUUUAGAAGAAACAAUCAAAGAAGACCUUGACAAUCCCAAAAUGACUACAAAUAAAACUGUUUUCACUCAUUAUAGUAGAAGUGGCUUUUUUACUCCCUGACUGUUCUUCCUCUGACUGGCACUUUCCUGGGAGAUGCGGUUGAGAACAAAUGCGUGUGUAUACACACACGUAUGCCUAUCUAUAUAUACAUUGAUCUGAGUGAGCCUGGGAAUGGAAAAGCAAGUGCAAAAACAUAUGCUGGGUUUGGCAAGUUGGUCCUUUUAGUUGCACAGUUUCCUGAUUUACUUUAUUUAAAAGGUGCGUUAAUGUUCUGUGUGUGAUGUUCUGAAGUGUGAUCAGAAGUUGGAUCUCGUCAAAAGAUGGAUGUUCAUGUUUCAUUCCAUCUUGUGAAAUAGUAGUCCUCAAAAUACCACGUCAAGCCACAAAUAAAUAGCUGUGCUGUAUUAUUUUGGGGAGUUGCAGUUUCUGAGACAGUCAGUAUGAUCUCAACCAUUAAGUGAGUAGAAAGUGUUUUGAAAAACUAGAAAGAGCUUCGUUGACUGCAAUGGCUGGGUCAGAGCUGAAAAGGAAGAGUUUGCUGUUUUAAAGCAUAGCAGACAUUUUAGACGUUCUUACCAGGAUGCUUCAGUAACACAGUUGUGUGAAAGACUGAUAAGGGAAUGUGCGAUGGCAGCCCUCAUCAUUUAAAGUGCCCAAACUUGGCACAUUCUGUGGCAACGUAAAAUAGCAAUAAAUAUAAAUCUCAUGUUCUGGAAUUCCCGGGUCUCCUUAUUAGCAGAUCAGUGUGUAAACACUGGCUCAGUGUGUCUAGUACUAGAGGGAUGUGUUUUGUUCCUGCAAACAGAUGUGUGCUGGCUCUGCACCCCCUGGCGCAUGUAUAAGACACAGUAGAUUCAGAAUGAGCUGUACUCCACAUUUUCUAGAGGAAGUCUGUUUUGUAUAAACCACACAUGAAAUCAGUGUGUACAUAAUUUUUCACUGCUGUGCAGGUAUUUUACCAGUUUUAAAUCAUGACUUAGUUACUGGUUUCAGUUGAGCUGCCUAGUAAGAGCUUGCCAGGAGCAUCGUGACAGUACAACUCAAUCAGAAUUCCAGAUUUAAUGCUGCUCCUUGGUCAGGUUGGGACUGGCAGUUUUCAUUUUGCUCCCAGUUCUGUGCCAAUUAAAUGCAUAAAAAUUGUUAGAAAGAGCAGGAAAAGCUUUGUUCACUGAAAUGACUGCACUGAAAUUAGAAGUGGGGAGCAGCAGGAGGAAGAGCACUGGACUACCAGUGGCUGGGGACGAAUGCCAGUGUUUGCACCCCGUGCCCUCCAUUGUGAAGACCUGAAGUAGCUGUUUUUUCUCUUACAAGCUUGAGCCCUGAGCCUGCUCGUUAACUUCUGCAUUCCUUUAAGGCUGCCUGGCAUGUCAGGGCUGGAGCCUUGAAGCAGUAGGGAAUGGUGUUUAUCCUUGGUCAAAGAGGGAAACCACCAUGCCAACACAAACCUGCUUGUCUGAUGAGACCAGUGCUAAAGGUAAUAUGUAAAGCACUGGUGAUUGCUUCUUUGGGAAAGCAAUUGGAAGUAGGAUAAAUGGUCCUUAAUUUAAUUAUGAUUGGCAUUUCAAGGCUUAUGACAAUGUACUUAAGCUCAAUGAAGGCAUUUCUAUUUACAUGUUCCUUCAGGACUUCAAAUUGUUGCAAAGAGCACAGCAAACUUUGAUUGUGGUUGUGCAAAGCUGGCAUUAUCGGUGUAGCUGAAACUCAAAUGACACUCAGAUGGGUUCUGUCUCAGUGCCUGUAUUGUGCUGGAAAACCCGAGUGAUUUGGUUUAGAAAUGAUUUGUCAUACUAAAGUGUCUCUUCUUGGUUCUAUGGGGUUUUUUUGUAGUUUCCAUUUCUGUUUUGGCGAAGAUGGUGUGGGGGAUGAGGAGUUGCAGAUUGAUGAUUGUUUGUCUGUAAACCAUCUUACUGGAACAGAGCAUGUAGGAGGCUUUCUCAUGGCUCUUAGUCAGACCACUGCCUUAUCUAAACAGUGUGUGACCCUCCAAGAUGCUGCGUGUGGCUCUAACCCAGCCUACCUGCCUGAUCAGAGUGGAUAUGGACAUGUUUGUAGCAGAGUGAGAGGAGCAUUCAUUUGGGGAACUGUUCUCAUGUGUUCUUAAGUCUUUCUGACUGAGUCCUUUCACUUGAUUGAUUUUAAUCCAGUUCAAAGGUGGUCCAGGAAGUAGAAUUUGAUACCUCAAUAGAGGAGGUUAUAAAAUGAGGGCAAGGCUGUGUCCUGACAUCACAACACGGUACUUCUUUUGACACUGCAUUAAUAUGCAGUAACUUGUAGUGGUAGCAAUGCAGUGACUCAAAACAAACACUGCAAAACCUUUCAUCUCAGACCGCGGUUGUCACUAGAAAUGCAAUUGCCUAUGAGGACCAUUAGUCUUAAGACUAGUCAUAGCACUAGUGUGGGACAGUUUAUGGAAUACAGUUUGAGGCAUUUCCUGCCCACGGAUGUCAGACAGGCUGACAGCAGGUAGGAGACUGAUGGCAGAGAUCAAGACUUGCUGGGCAUUACUUGACUCCAAUUUUAUCAUGGAAUAGGGAAGAAAAUGUAUCCUUGAUCUUUACCUGAAAACAGUAAGAAAGGAGGAAAUACAGAGAAAGAUAUGCAAUUAGAGAAAUAAACCAACUAUUCAUGCUGCACUUCCCUAUCAUUUUUCUUGCAGUAAAAAGUUGACUCAAUAAUUCCUGUCUUCUUAUUUUCUAAUUGUUUUAAAAUUCAUCUUACAGUGAUAGGAACAUUCUUCCCUUUGUAAGAAUUAAUUUUGAUAUAAAGAAAUUGAAACUUAAGGGAUAAAAUAAGAUACUUUUUUCAUAAAUAAGGAAUCAUUUAAAUUAUUCUUGAGCAACUUCCAGUUGCUUUAUUUUUUUACAUGCAAAGAGAACAAAGGAAAAUGGUAGAAAUUCAGCUUUGGUAAAGUUUGGUUUAAUAGUGCUAUGAUGGCUGAAUUUGAAGAGCAGAGGAAACAUAGGUUUUUCAAGAGCGGGGGCCCCAGGAGUUUGAGAAGACACCCAGUCAGAAAGCUGGGGUUUCAAAUCCUAUCUUCUCUCUUGUUCAGUCUUCUUUGAGAUACUCCUUUGGUUCUUAAUUUAAGCACGCAGUUUAGUCUUACAUUAGCUUUUCAUUAAAAGCAUCUACAGUUCAAGUGCACUGAAUCUGUUAAAGGCUGGUCUUGCCUUUUGGACAGAGAAUUGCAUUUCAUGGUUUUUAUCAUACCUUUAUAAUUUUUUUUCCUCUGUCCUGUUUUCAAAUGGAAUAGCUAGUGUUUAGAUACUAAUAUAUUAACUCCAGCAGCCCUUUCCUCCUGUGCAGGAUGUGGUUUGGGAUGACUCCCCUGGUGAGGCAGUGACUUGCAGUCAGGAGACACAGUGGCAGAACCAGAAGGAAUAGUUAUCUGAUGGGUGACUUGAGGUGUGUCAUGACCAGUCGGUGCUGCAGCUGUAAAAUGCAGAUAAUUAUACUGAUAUCACUCCUUGGUAAAGCAUUAUGAAAUGUUUUCAUGAGUCUUUCUGCUCAAGAGCCUGGGUGUUUUUAGUUUGGAUUCCAAGGACAUGAGGUGUGUGUGGUGGUGAUGAUGCCUGUCUGUUUGAUUGCCCACCCCCAUUUCCCCCUUGCCUCCCCUCCCUAAACACUGUCUUGGCUAGUUCACACCAAAUCCCACAGGAAGCAAAAGUCUCAAAGACAAUUAAAUUCCUACAAUUAUUUUUUGUUGUUGUAGCUAAAUUCAACAGGCAGGGGAGGUGAGAGGCAUGAGCUACUGUUGACACUGAGAGGAAAGAGACAGCCAAGCUCUGCCCUUGGUAGCUCUCCUUAAUGGUGGCUGGCAGUGAGUCCCACCUCUGCAUCCAGAGGACUGUGGCAUCCCUUGCCCAGGUGCCAGGCCAGCAUGGCAGGAUGGGGAGCAAGGCUGGGCUGUUGAAGGACACCAGAGCAAAGAUGGUGCAAAGGUGGAUAAAUGCAGAGGGAAAGCAGAGCACAAAUCCUACCCUUUGUUCUUUGGGAUGUGUUGUUAGAAGGCUUCUGGCUGAAUUUGCCAUUCAAAAUCUUGGAGGUGUUUUUGUUUCUGGCUGCUUGAAACAUGACUUUCUCAUGUUCCUGGGAUGUUUUCACUCUUCUGUACAAGGCUGGGUUCCUCUGCCACAAGGAGCUCUGAAUCUUUCUGGAUUCUUUCAGAACCCUUGGCAAAGCUCUUGUGCUCUGUCCCCUUCAUGCUGCUCACAUUUAGCUUCUGCAGUGAAUGCAAAUUGAGAGCUGCCCUCUUUCCUUGUAACUGUGCAGCUUCUCCCCAUGUAUACCAAGUGCAAGAGCCCUCCUGUUCUCAUGAAAAAAUUCUCUCUUUGUCAUCAAUAUAAACAUUUAAUGACUGGCAGGCCCUGUUUUCAGUAACUGCUGAGUUUGUCCCUUGCACAGUUGUGUUUGUGCCUCUAGAGCACUGGCCUUUUUCUGCACAAGCCCUCUCACUUAGUUGGCACAGCACUCUGGUUUUGUAUCAUUCUGUACAUUGGAGGCAGCUACAUGGCAGUAGUAAAUUCACAGGGAUGCAAAUUUAUUCUCUCGUUUAGUAACUCAGUGGGGCACAUGUUUAUCUUGUACGCUUGAGUGCUGUUUUUAAAUAAUACUGUAUAUACAAUAGAUAGAUUUAAAGUUGACUAACCAAGGAAACAUCCUCAAGGCUUAAAGAAUAAAUAUGAAAGAUAUGCAAGAGUUGCAGGCUGGUUUUUAGCACUGCUUUGUGUCUGGCAGGCUGACGUACAUGGCUGUAGCAGUUAGAUGUCUCAUUUACGCACCCAGAUAAAGCCAGGGGAGUUUAAAGCAAUCAGAUUAAUCUUGUGUCCUGGAAGAACUAGUUCAUCCUUUGCAAGAGAGAUUUCCAGAUUGUUGGUGGGGUUUUUUUCGUUGUUGUUGUUGUUGUUUUUAAAUAGGGAAUGUUUGCAGAAGCAUCCUUUCACUGGGAAGAGGGGACAGGUAAGCAAGUAGCCAACUGACCACAGGCUCUGUGGCUUCUACAAAGGCAGUUAUAGGAAGACCAAGACCCUUAAGCUACCUUCAUUCAGAUUAGUUGUUUUCAACAAUGUUAGUUUAGGCAGGUUAAGAGUUCAGUUGCUUUUAAAUGGAGAUGCUGUGACCAGGAAGGAACAUGAUUGGAAAAGCAUCAGUCAUGGAAAAAUAACUGUAGCCUAAAGUCAGCUUUCAAGUCUCCAAGUUUUUUUAUUGACUUGAUGGACUUAAGGUUAGGCUUUCAGUAAUGAAAGUCAAGAUCAGACAUGUCUCUGAAAUAAUUUUCAGGGGUUAUUUAAAUGUAACAUACUUCAUUGCCAUUUUAAUAAGAAUCUCUUGAGUUGAACUAACUAUUACUGCUGUGGCUUUAGUAGUCAAAGCCCAUUUUGGCUGGGCAUUUGAGUACAUAAAUGGAACCAAAGGAUGCUCCAAACAAAAGAAGUCAUAAUGUGCAUGUGUAUGUUUGUGUGGAGAAUGGAGGUUUCAGACAAGGUGCAGCUUGGCUUCCAAAUCCACCUAUCUCUGCAGUCAUUUUGGAUGACAGUGGAUAGUAGCCUGGGCUGUUGUACAGUGAACAGACUAAUUAGUCCAGGAAGGGCACCUCUAAAUUCUGGUUGAAAAUCCCAUCUUUGAAUCAAAGGGAAUUUACAGCCUGCAAAUAGUGUCUGAAUCUGUUUCAGAUCUUUGUCUAUUAGCUUGUCUAUUAUUAUUUUUGCUUUAUUUUCAUGUACCUCCUGUUCGCAUUGAAGCAAGAAGUGCAGAAGUCCUAUUUAUGUGCUUCAUGCCAUGUCUGUUUUCCUGACAGGAUGGGACAGGUCACUGCAAUGCAUUUUUAAGGUGCUUGCCUUGUUAAGUUCCAGUGUCCAGAUCUCAUGGCUUCCUCCACUUCCCUCAAGGACUUGUUAACAAGUCUUAUAACAUUCAGCCUAAUUUUCACUUUUUAAACAUUCCCUUAAGUUGCCCAAGACACCAUCUUACAUAAUUCUGUCUAACACACUUGUGAUGUUGGCUAUAACACUAGGGAUGAAAUCAGCAGUAAGUGGAUAUACUGGUAAUUGACUGUUCCUUCAGUGCAUGCUUGGAGAUUCUCCUGAGAAGCUGCCCACAUGAUAUGUCAAACCCAAAAGCAGAGAAAAUGUUCUCUGGACAGGCACUGAAACUCUGAGAUGUUUGGGUUUUUU